AGUGAACGCUGGCGGUAGGCCUAACACAUGCAAGUCGAACGGCAGCACAGUAAGAGCUUGCUCUUACGGGUGGCGAGUGGCGGACGGGUGAGGAAUACAUCGGAAUCUACUUUUUCGUGGGGGAUAACGUAGGGAAACUUACGCUAAUACCGCAUACGACCUACGGGUGAAAGCAGGGGAUCUUCGGACCUUGCGCGAUUGAAUGAGCCGAUGUCGGGUUAGCUAGUUGGCGGGGUAAAGGCCCACCAAGGCGACGAUCCGUAGCUGGUCUGAGAGGAUGAUCAGCCACACUGGAACUGAGACACGGUCCAGACUCCUACGGGAGGCAGCAGUGGGGAAUAUUGGACAAUGGGCGCAAGCCUGAUCCAGCCAUACCGCGUGGGUGAAGAAGGCCUUCGGGUUGUAAAGCCCUUUUGUUGGGAAAGAAAAGCAGCAGGUUAAUACCCCGCUGUUCCGACGGUACCCAAAGAAUAAGCACCGGCUAACUUCGUG
rnacentral:rRNA from 1 species